rnacentral:lncRNA from 1 species
GCAUUUUAUCAGCACAUCCCUGGGCAACAGUACUAAAUUAAAAAAAUAACAGGUGAACAUCGCAGUAAAAUCGACUCCUGGGCCACACGCUUCAGUCUGAGAUGUGGGCUGGGCCACGCCACUUGAUAGACUUAUGUUUGCUUCUCUGUUGGCUAAGAGACUUCACUCACUGAUCUCCCAGGCAUAGGCUCAGAAUAACUCACUCUCUGAUUAGCAUAGUGUCAGAGAGACAGACAGAGGUUUAUGUUGGGACAUUUUGGAGGGAUGCUGAGAGCCUCACUACACACUAGGCAAGCGCUUUCCCACUGAGCUCCAAGCCCAACACUCAUCUGAUUCUUAACCAUGGACGACAAUGCCUUUCAAUGCUGUAUACAAUUCAAGCUACCAUACAAAGGUACUUCUCAUACCAUAAAGAUGUUUCAGGCGGCAGAUUUCUCCCCUUAAGUUCCUCUGACCUGAUUCUGGCAGGACGAUGGAUUCUGGGUCAUCACUUUUUUGGGAAUGCUCCAUGCUCACCAUGCCAGGUGCGGUCUGCGUCCCAGUCAGCUGGGAGUCACAUGUGGAGCUAUUCUGGGGUCUAGGGACCGUCGAUUCUUGCCAAGGAAAACUAUUUGAGAACAUAGUGCAUUUGGGUAACCACCGAGACUCUCUGCUGGCCUUGCCCUCCAUCAAUCCUGCUGCAGCCUUGCUACUGCUGGUGUCUAGGGUCACCCACACAGGAGGGCAUCAUUCACGGUGUGUCUGAGGUUUUCUCAGUUGAAGUGCCCAACCACAGGGGGUCAGCUGUGAAUUUAGAUUGACUUUGGGGCAUCAGAUCGCCAUGGACCAAGGUGGGCGUGCUGCACUGAGUAGAAAACAGACACAGAAAACAACAGCGUCCUUUCAUGUCUGAUGCUUUCAUACAUUUGGGGAAACUUCCUGCCACACUACCCUCAGAUACUGAUCCUCUCCCCUUGUCUCUGGACAAAGAACUUACUGUGCUCAGAGAAGACAAAUGUAGCCACAGCCUGAGCUCGGAUUAGCAAAGUGCUGGGAUGGAUGAGACUGGAGAGGUGGGCGUAGACCCGUAGGGGAUUUACUGUGCCCUGAGCCUCUGUGUGGGGUAGAAGCUUUGCUUCGAGAGGAGCUUACACAUAAAGGAGAACUGUGCGAUCCCUCUAGGAUGAUGUGAAUGGCUUUCUAGGAAACACACCUGAAGAACCUGCUGGCAGGUGAUACGCGUCAGGGUCAGGGCCCUCAGCUGCUGAGAGUGAAGCUACAGACCAGAGAACCUGGUUUUUAUCAGUGGGAAGUCCUGGAGAGUAGAGGCAUUGUCUUCACCAACAAGGCUGGGUGGAAUUGUACACUUUCACGGCUGAAUGUCUGCGUGUGGCUUUGUAUUCUUAUCUGUAAAAUGGGAGUGAUGACUUCCCUAUGAGGAACAAUUUAGGGCCUGUGGCAGGCAUGCAGUAUUGAACAGGGUAACUGUUCACCACCUCCUUCCCUAUUGCUGACGUUGUCAAAAUCAGAGGGGAGGAGAAGUCAUAGGUUCUACAAGUACUGUUGUUUAUUUUUUAAAAAAUCCUUUUCUGAGCUGGGGAGACAGCUCAGUGUGUAAAUCACUUGCCAAGCAACCAUGAUGACCAGAGUUUGGUUCCUAGCUCCCAUGUAAAAACCAUGUGGUUUGGACAACCUGCCUGUAGUCUCGGCACAUCUCAAAGCAAGCAGGCUAAGCAGAUUAGUCAAGAUGACAAGUUCUGGGUUCAGCAAGAGGAGAGCACAUACGUCAUUAUAUAAGUUGGAGUGUGGUCAAGUAAUACACUCAGUGUUCAUGUCAGCCUUGCACAUACAUGUGUGCACAUGCACUAAUGUCAGCCUUGCACAUACACGUGUGCACAUGCACUUGUAAACUCACAUGCCUAUGCACACGAGAGCAGCUCUGAAGCCUCAGAAUAAUUGACCUACUUCAAAAUUUCUUUCUGCCUCAGCCAGAGCUUGGCUGGAAUGGUAGGCUAUGCUGCAUACAAGCAAUAGUUAUGAUGGUCAGGGCUGGGUCCUCUCUGGAUCACGAUGACUAUUGAAAUCUGCAGUAGCUGGAUUGAAGAAUUCUUAUAUGUGUGCACUAUGAGAUAGAGUGCCUGCAUUUGAACCCCAGCUAGCUAUGAAGUUUGGCCAGGAGGUUGCUGGUGCACUCGAGGUAGCUGCACCCAAACUUUGGAACUCAUGACUGUCCCAGUGCUCGUGGGUCUGCCAGGAAGCGGUUUCCCAGCUUGGUUCGGAGGCUGUGGUGUUCUCUGUUUACAGAGUAUCCCGCCUUAUAUGUAGCAAAAAGAAAAUGGAAACACCUUUGAGGGUUAAGUCCACCAGCAAGUAAAGUCAACGGAGGACCUGGAGUUGAGGAAUACUGCCUACUGACCUACUCCCAACUCUUUGCUCAGUGAGCGUUCUUACAUGGCCCAGGACACCCUGCCUAGGAAUAGUGCCACCCCACAAUGGGCUGGGCUCUCCUGGAUCAGUUAGCAAUCAAGAAAAUAUUCCACAGAGCAAGCUGUUGGUGGCAAUUCCCCUACAUUGAACUCUGGGCUAUGUCAAACCGACAGCUAGAAGCAGCAAGGUCUCCUGAAAGCGGUGAACAGGAUGCCUCCAGCACUGGUCACUGAUCAGGCUCCUCCUGGGCACAUUGCCUGGCUUCUUUAUACAAAGGUCUGGUGACAAGUCACUACUUUGGUACAUGAAAACAUUUAUGGAAGAGUCCCCAUUAAUCUCCCCAGUGUGUGACAGUGAGAUAAUAAACCUCAGGACCUUGAGCUCAUGUUGGUUCGCCCACUCCUUUCAGUUAGGGCGUCUGCAUGCUGCAAUCUCACAGAGGCAGGCAGACUCAGGGAGCGAAACUUUCACUCGGAACUGACUGGCAACCUCUUAUUUAUUUAUCUGCUUUCUCUCCUUAAUGUUCUUUCCAAACUUAGAUAUUUUUCACAGGACUUGGUCUGAUUUUUUUUUUUCCAAUUUUUUGUAGAAUCGUUGUGAGAAAAUAGAAAUUGUCAAGGGCCUUAGAUGACUUCAAAAGACGAAUUGAAAAUAUGCAGAACAUGGGCCUGGAGAGAGGCCUCGCUGGUGAAAAAUACUGCCUGCAUUUGCAGAGGACCAGGUUUAAUUCCCGUUACUCGUGAUAAUCCCGAUAAUCUUCCUGCCCCAGCCCCCAGAGUGGCGGAAUUACGAGCGCGUGCCAAGCACUUGAUUCUUCAAAGCGUGAAUCUUACACAGUGUCAUCUUAACCCUUGCCGCUUAUUUGAUUCUUUCUCUGCGGUCGGACUUUUGCCUUACUUCUGCUUUUGGGUCACUAG